GGGGGCUUGGUGAAGCGGGAUCACGACUGGUUUGCAACCAGUAAUCACGGGUUCGAUUCCCGUAGCCUCCAC
rnacentral:tRNA from 1 species